rnacentral:rRNA from 1 species
UGCAGUCGAGCGGAGUUAUUCCUUCGGGAGUAACUUAGCGGCGGACGGGUGAGUAACACGUAGGUAACCUGCCUGUAAGACCGGGAUAACAUUCGGAAACGAAUGCUAAUACCGGAUAUGCAAUCUGGUCGCAUGACCGGGUUGGGAAAGACGGAGCAAUCUGUCACUUACAGAUGGACCUGCGGCGCAUUAGCUAGUUGGUGAGGUAACGGCUCACCAAGGCGACGAUGCGUAGCCGACCUGAGAGGGUGAUCGGCCACACUGGGACUGAGACACGGCCCAGACUCCUACGGGAGGCAGCAGUAGGGAAUCUUCCGCAAUGGACGAAAGUCUGACGGAGCAACGCCGCGUGAGUGAAGAAGGUUUUCGGAUCGUAAAGCUCUGUUGCCAGGGAAGAAUGCUUGGGAGAGUAACUGCUCCCAAGGUGACGGUACCUGAGAAGAAAGCCCCGGCUAACUACGUGCCAGCAGCCGCGGUAAUACGUAGGGGGCAAGCGUUGUCCGGAAUUAUUGGGCGUAAAGCGCGCGCAGGCGGCUAAUUAAGUUCGGUGUUUAAUCCUGGGGCUCAACCCCGGGUCGCACUGGAAACUGGUUGGCUUGAGUGCA